rnacentral:rRNA from 1 species
GACGAACGCUGGCGGCGUGCUUAACACAUGCAAGUCGAACGGAAAGGCCCUGCUUUUGUGGGGUGCUCGAGUGGCGAACGGGUGAGUAACACGUGAGUAACCUGCCCUUGACUUUGGGAUAACUUCAGGAAACUGGGGCUAAUACCGGAUAGGAGUUCCUGCUGCAUGGUGGGGGUUGGAAAGUUUCGGCGGUUGGGGAUGGACUCGCGGCUUAUCAGCUUGUUGGUGGGGUAGUGGCUUACCAAGGCUUUGACGGGUAGCCGGCCUGAGUGGGUGACCGGCCACAUUGGGACUGAGAUACGGCCCAGACUCCUACGGGAGGCAGCAGUGGGGAAUAUUGCACAAUGGGCGGAAGCCUGAUGCAGCAACGCCGCGUGCGGGAUGACGGCCUUCGGGUUGUAAACCGCUUUCGCCUGUGACGAAGCGUGAGUGACGGUAAUGGGUAAAGAAGCACCGGCUAACUACGUG